rnacentral:rRNA from 1 species
UACGGAGGGUGCAAACGUUGCUCGGAAUCAUUGGGCGUAAAGCGCACGUAGGCGGUCGGCUAUGUCGGAUGUGAAAGCCUCGGGCUUAACCCGAGAAGUGCAUCCGAAACUGGCCGGCUUGAGUACGGAAGAGGGUCUCGGAAUUCCCGGUGUAGAGGUGAAAUUCGUAGAUAUCGGGAGGAACACCAGUGGCGAAGGCGGAGACCUGGGCCGAUACUGACGCUGAGGGUGCGAAAAGCGUGGGGGAGCAAACAGGA